rnacentral:rRNA from 1 species
UCCGUAGGCGGCAUGUUAGGUGAGGUGUGAAAUCCCCCGGCUCAACCGAGGAAUUGCGCUUCAAACCGGCGUGCUUGAGGAAGAUAGAGGUGGGCGGAACUGAUGGUGGAGCGGUGAAAUGCGUUGAUAUCAUCAGGAACACCGGAGGCGAAGGCGGCCACUGGGUCUUUUCUGACGCUGAGGGACGAAAGCUAGGGGAGGCGAACG